UAGAGAGAGAGAGAGAGAGAGAGAGAGAGUGAGAGAGAGAGAAAGUGGUCCAUCUGAGUCUAUGGCUGACGGACCUUUAGGAGAAGCCGUGCAAGAUAAGGAAUAUGAGAGACAGAGAGAGAGAUGAAACACAGCAACUAGCUUUCAUGGUAUGUGGAAUUGUCUUCUAAAAGAUUCGAACGAGGUUGGGACGAAAGAUCCGAGCAAGAAGUCUUUUAAGUUUUAGAGAGUUGAAACCAAGUUUAUUUUGUGGGCUUCUCUCUUCAUUUUCCGGGGAAGUGUUGUAGGGUAUUCUGUUCAACAAAUAUUUUGCUUUUUCUUUGUUUUUGUCAAUACUAUCACAGUUUUUUGAGCUAAUACUAGUUUGGGACACAACCCAACCAGUGACUCCAAAUUCAGUUACACAAUGAUGUCUGAUGAUGGCAGUCUCUCUUCAAUUCCAUCAACAAUCACAGGGUUUGUCAGCCAAGAACCAAUUCCAAACCCUAACCCUAAUUCAAAUCCGGCUAAACGAAAGAGAAAUCUCCCAGGAACACCAGAUCCAGAAGCAGAAGUGAUAGCUCUCUCGCCAAAGUCUCUCAUGGCAACGAACCGAUUCGUAUGCGAAAUAUGCAACAAGGGUUUUCAAAGAGAUCAAAACUUGCAGCUUCACCGAAGAGGUCACAAUCUUCCAUGGAAGCUCAAGCGAAGAACAAGUCAAGAAAUCAGAAAGAAAGUGUAUCUUUGCCCCGAAAAGAGCUGCAUACAUCAUGAUCCGUCGAGAGCCCUCGGCGACCUCACCGGCAUCAAGAAACACUAUUCUAGAAAACAUGGCGAAAAGAAGUGGAAGUGCGAGAAAUGCUCAAAAAAGUACGCGGUUCAGUCCGAUUGGAAGGCUCAUAGCAAGAUUUGCGGCACUAGAGAGUAUAAAUGUGACUGCGGAACAAUCUUCUCCAGGAAGGAUAGCUUCAUCACACAUAGGGCCUUUUGUGAUGCAUUAGCUGAAGAAAGUGCAAGAUUCACUUCACUUCCAAUAACACAAAAUAUGAAUUUCAGAACAGACCAAUCAAUCAAUGGGGCAAUUACUAAUCUUCAUCAAGCUGCCGGAAACCCCCAUUUUCAGGCGGUGUUCCGGCAAGACCUUGUCGGGUUAGAUUCCGGCCAGCUCAACAUGGAUGCUCAACAAAAACCUAGGCUACCACUUUGGUUAGACCAUGGAAAUUCUCAUCUUCGUCACCAACCCAUUGGAAUCACUGGCAAUUCUUCCAAUGCUUACUUGCCAUCGAAUUCCGUGGGCUUGCCGGAAAAUAUGUUUGGAUUGUCAGCAGCUCAGACCCAGUGGCUCAAUCCCAACCUCUCAUCGUCGGUUUUGCCGCGGGUUUUAAAGGAAGAAGAAGAGAGCAAAGGUGGUUUGUCUGAAACGAUGACCACUUUCUACUACAAUAAUCAGAAUCAGAAUGAGAAUCAAGCUCAAGCUUCCAUGUCUGCAACUGCACUAUUGCAGAAAGCAGCUCAAAUGGGCUCAACCAGAAGCAACAACAACAACAGCAGCAGCUCGGCUUUGUUCGGAACCGGGUUUGGGCUCGUGACCUCACAAUCUCUCUCAAGUGUUCCCGAUUUCAAUUCAUUUAGCCAGAGCAGGCAUGACCCAGAUGAGAACUUAAGUGAAUUGAUGAAUUCGAUGCCCGGUUCGACCCCGGGGACUGGUAAUGGGGAUGCGUUGUUCUUGUUAGGUGAGCAUCAUGUUAUGAACUCAUCAAGCUCAGUAAUGGGUAGCACAGGAAAUUUGGAUUUGGACCAUUUAAUGCCAAACAAUGGGAAGCAAAGCAAAAGCAAACCCAGUUGUAAUGAAGUUGAUAGAAGCAUGACUAGAGAUUUUCUUGGUGUAGGAGGUGGUGGUGGUGUUCAUGGAGGCCUAGGAAGGCCAUUAUUGCAACAAGAGCUAGCCAAGUUUGGACCAAUGAGUUCAGCCAUGGACUUGACCCACCACCAGUAUAGUGGAAGUCACUGAGAUUCAAAUAUGGUCAAGCGCCACGUCCCAGUCAUGUGUUUCGCGAAGCCAACUGUGAUCCAGUGCGAGAGGGGACUUAGUGGUAUCGACCUUGCCCCACUUUUGUCAAGCUACCUUUUGUGUCUCACUGUGAGGUUCUCAUCUGUUCGAGGCUUUGGAUGGCUGGUGAUCACCCUUUUGACAGUCACUCACAUGUUAUGAAUAGUUUCAUUUUACUUACACAUAUGUUGAUGAUGGGAAUGUACUCCCUUUCUUGGUUGUAUUUUGGCAAACUUGUUGUAUCUUGAUGUAUUGAUAUGUAUGUGUAUAUAUAUAACAAUGCAUUUUGUCUCA